rnacentral:rRNA from 1 species
UGAACGCUAGCUACAGGCUUAACACAUGCAAGUCGAGGGGAAACGACAUCGAAAGCUUGCUUUUGAUGGGCGUCGACCGGCGCACGGGUGAGUAACGCGUAUCCAACCUGCCCACCACUUGGGGAUAACCUUGCGAAAGUAAGACUAAUACCCAAUGAUAUCUCUAGAAGACAUCUGAAAGAGAUUAAAGAUUUAUCGGUGAUGGAUGGGGAUGCGUCUGAUUAGCUUGUUGGCGGGGUAACGGCCCACCAAGGCGACGAUCAGUAGGGGUUCUGAGAGGAAGGUCCCCCACAUUGGAACUGAGACACGGUCCAAACUCCUACGGGAGGCAGCAGUGAGGAAUAUUGGUCAAUGGGCGAGAGCCUGAACCAGCCAAGUAGCGUGCAGGAUGACGGCCCUAUGGGUUGUAAACUGCUUUUAUAAGGGAAUAAAGUGAGUCUCGUGAGACUUUUUGCAUGUACCUUAUGAAUAAGGACCGGCUAAUUCCGUGCCAGCAGCCGCGGUAAUACGGAAGGUCCGGGCGUUAUCCGGAUUUAUUGGGUUUAAAGGGAGCGUAGGCCGGAGAUUAAGCGUGUUGUGAAAUGUAGACGCUCAACGUCUGCACUGCAGCGCGAACUGGUUUCCUUGAGUACGCACAAAGUGGGCGGAAUUCGUGGUGUAGCGGUGAAAUGCUUAGAUAUCACGAAGAACUCCGAUUGCGAAGGCAGCUCACUGGAGCGCAACUGACGCUGAAGCUCGAAAGUGCGGGUAUCGAACAGGAUUAGAUACCCUGGUAGUCCGCACGGUAAACGAUGGAUGCCCGCUGUUGGUCUGAAUAGGUCAGCGGCCAAGCGAAAGCAU